GAAAUGUUAAGUUAAAUUAAACUAGUAGGUUGUCAGGCUACAGAUCUUGUGACUGCAAGACAUUUCG
rnacentral:tRNA from 1 species